rnacentral:rRNA from 1 species
GUGUCAGCAGCCGCGGUAAUACGUAGGGGGCAAGCGUUGUCCGGAAUUAUUGGGCGUAAAGCGCGUGUAGGCGGCCAGAUAAGUCCGCUGUGAAAUCUCGAGGCUCAACUUCGAGCUGUCGGUGGAAACUGUCUGGCUAGAGUCCGGAAGAGGAGAAUGGAAUUCCUGGUGUAGCGGUGAAAUGCGCAGAUAUCAGGAAGAACACCCGUGGCGAAGGCGGUUCUCUGGGACGGUACUGACGCUGAGACGCGAAAGCGUGGGGAGCGAACAGGAUUAGAAACCCCCGUAGUCC